AGAGUUUGAUCCUGGCUCAGAAUGAACGCUGGCGGCGUGCCUAACACAUGCAAGUCGAACGGGAAAUCUCCUGCUUGCAGGAGAGAGUAAAGUGGCGAACGGGUGAGUAACGCGUGGGUAAUUUGCCUCCGAAUUUGGGAUAACCCGCCGAAAGGCGUGCUAAUACCGGAUAAUAUCUUGCGGCGUAGGUUGUCAAGAUCAAAGGUGGCCUCUACAAGUAAGCUACCGUUUAGAGAUAAGCCCGCGUGCCAUUAGCUUGUUGGCGGGGUAACGGCCCACCAAGGCGACGAUGGCUAGCUGGUCUGAGAGGAUGAUCAGCCACACUGGAACUGAGACACGGUUCAGACUCCUACGGGAGGCAGCAGUGAGGAAUCUUGCGCAAUGGGGGAAACCCUGACGCAGCAACGCCGCGUGAGUGAUGAAGGCUUUCGGGUCGUAAAGCUCUGUCAAGUGGGAAGAACCUGCUUGAUGCCAAUACCAUCAGGCACUGACGGUACCACUGAAGGAAGCACCGGCUAACUCCGUGCCAGCAGCCGCGGUAAGACGGAGGGUGCAAGCGUUAUUCGGAAUUACUGGGCGUAAAGGGCGCGCAGGCGGCCCCUUAAGUCAGGCGUGAAAGCCCGGGGCUAAACCCCGGAAGGGCGUUUGAAACUGAGGAGCUCGAGUACGGGAGAGGGAAGUGGAAUUCCCGGUGUAGUGGUGAAAUGCGUAGAUAUCGGGAGGAACACCAGUGGCGAAGGCGGCUCUCUGGGCCAUUCCUGACGCUAAGACGCGAAAGCUAGGGGAGAGAACGGGAUUAGAAACCCCGGUAUUCCUAGCCGUAAACGAUGUCAACUACGUGUAGGGGUAACCAACCCCCUGUGCUGUAGCUAACGCGUUAAGUUGACCGCCUGGGGACUACGGCCGCAAGGCUAAACUCAAAGGAAUUGACGGGGACCUGCACAAGCAGCGGAGCGUGUUGUUUAAUCGAGCUACGCGAAGAACCUUACCAGGGUUUGACAUGUCGUGGUAGGGAGGCGAAAGCUGACCGACCCUUCCGGGAGCGACACAAGUGCUGCAUGCUGUCGUCAGCUCGGCGUGAGUGUAGUAAGUCUGUAACGAGGCACCCUCGUCGCUAGUUACUGGUCUAGCGGAACUGCGGU
rnacentral:rRNA from 1 species